rnacentral:piRNA from 1 species
UAGAUAGCCUGAACCAUUCUGCUCUACGGGU